AUUGAACGCUGGCGGCCGGCCUAACACAUGCAAGUCGAGCGGAGCGGCGGACGGGUGAGUAAUGCCUAGGAAUCUGCCUGGUAGUGGGGGUUAACGUCCGGAAACGGGCGCUAAUAUCGCAUACUAUCAGAUGAGCCUAGGUCGGGUUAGCUAGUUGGUGGGGUAAAGGCCUACCAAGGCGACGAUCCGUAACUGGUCGGAGAGGAUGAUCAGUCACUCUGGAAAGGAGACACGGUCCAGUCGCCUACGGGAGGCAGCAGUGGGGAAUAUUGGACAAUGGGCGAAAGCCUGAUCCACGCAUGCCGCGGGUGUUAAGAAGGUCUUCGGAGUUUAAAGCACUUUAAGUUGGGAGGCGUUACCAACAGAAUAAGCACCGGCUAACUUCGUGCCAGCAGCCGCGGUAAUUC
rnacentral:rRNA from 1 species